rnacentral:rRNA from 1 species
UGAGGAAUAUUGGGCAAUGCCCGCAAGGGUGACCCAGCAACGCCGCGUGGAGGAUGAAUGUCGUAAGAUUGUAAACUCCUGUUAGAGGGGAAGAAUAGUACCGGUUGGACCGGUAUAUGACUGUACCCUCAGAGAAAGCCCCGGCUAACUACGUGCCAGCAGCCGCGGUAAUACGUAGGGGGCAAGCGUUGUCCGGAUUUACUGGGUGUAAAGGGAGCGCAGGCGGGAUAAAAAGUCAGUGGUGAAAUCCUACAGCUUAACUGUAGAACUGCCUUUGAUACUUUUAUUCUUGAGUUCGGGAGAGAGAGACGGAAUUCCAGGUGUAGUGGUGAAAUACGUAGAUAUCUGGAAGAACACCAGUUGCGAAGGCGGUCUCUUGGUCCGACACUGACGCUGAGGCGCGAAAGCGUGGGGAGCAAACA